UAAAUUUUUAGGUUAUAAAUAAAAUAAGUUAAGUGGUUAGAGUAAUAGGUAAAGAAAUAUUAGGUGUUAGUGAAGUACUGAAGGGGAUAUACUAUAUAAAUUUUAUUGUAGUAGAAAUUAAAAUUUGUACCUUUAGCAUUAUGGGUUGAUAAUAUAAUUAAUUUUAUAGAUUGUUUCUCGAAUUAAAAGGAUUUAUUUAGUAAAAGGUUUACCUUGAUGAUUUUAACGUGGUAUAGUUAUAUUAUUAUUAUUAAAUGGUAGUGAAAUGCUAUUCGACUUUUAUGUUAGCUAGUUUAUUGAUUGUAGCAUAUUAGUGCAGUGUGAUAUUUAUAUGUAUUCAUAUGAUAUUUCAUAUAUAUUUAAUGGGGGAUAAGCUUCAUACUAUAAUUGAGAUUUAUUAUAUAAGUUAGUUUUUAUUUAAAUUGAAUUAGAUAAUUUUAUUUAUAAUUAUUAAUUAAGGUAAAAGGAAAUAAUCUUAAUUGCUAUUAAUAAAUUUUUAUUAAUUAUUAUAAUAGAUAAUUAUAAUGUUAAUAUGAGUAUUUAGUAUUUUUAAUAAGUUGGAUUUUGCUAGUGAAUUGUAUUAUAGAAUAAGUAAAAGUUUAUAAAAUUAUUAUAAUAUAAUAAAGUAAAUAAAAGGAAUUUGGCAAAUAUCAAUUUCGCCUGUUUAUCAAAAACAUGUCUCUUUGUUUUUUUUGUAUAAAGAGUCGGGCCUGCUCGGUGAUAUACUUAUUUAACAGCUGCGGUAUAUUAACUGUACUAAGGUAGCAUAAUAAUUUGCCUUAUAAAUUGAGGCUAGAAUGAAUGGUUUGACGAAAGUUGAUCUGUCUCUUAUUUAUUUUUUAGAAAUUAAUUUUUAAAGUGAAAAAGCUUGGAUUAUUUAAAGGGACGAGAAGACCCUAUUGAGCUUUAAUUGUUUAUUUAUAUAAGUUUUUUUAUAUAAUUUUAGGCAUAUUUGAUUGGGGUGAUCAAGGAAUAAGUGUUUAUUUUAACUUCCUUAUAGGUAUUAUAUUAAUUUAUUAAUUAACCAGUUUUAUUGCUUUUAUGAAUAAGUUACCAUAGGGAUAACAGCGUAAUUUUUUUAGAGAGUUCUUAUUGAAAAAAAAGAUUGCGACCUCGAUGUUGGAUUAAAAUUACCUUAAGGUGUAGAAGCUUUGGUUGGUAAAUCUGUUCGAUUUUUAAAAUUUUACAUGAUCUGAGUUCAGACCGGCGUGAGCCAGGUUGGUUUCUAUCUUUUGAUUAUAUUAUUAUGUUUAGUACGAAAGGACCAAUUAUAAUUGAAAUUCUUAAUUAUAUAUUAAUAUAAAGUUGGCA
rnacentral:rRNA from 1 species